rnacentral:rRNA from 1 species
ACGGAGGGUGCAAGCGUUAAUCGGAAUUACUGGGCGUAAAGCGUGCGUAGGUGGUUUAGUAAGUCGGAUGUGAAAUCCCCGGGCUCAACCUGGGAAUUGCAUUCGAAACUGCUUCACUAGAGUCUAGCAGAGGGAUGGGGAAUUCCGGGUGUAGCGGUGAAAUGCGUAGAGAUCCGGAGGAACAUCAGUGGCGAAGGCGCCAUCCUGGGCUAAGACUGACACUGAGGCACGAAAGCGUGGGGAGCAAACAGG